CCGGCUCCCCGUUUUCCUGAAUGUAGGUCAUUUCGUGUCCUUACAAUUUAACGUCCGAAGGGAUUUCCUGUCUUUGAAGUGUAGCACUUUGUCACCUGUUUGGAUAGGCUCCCUAAAAGUAAGGGCUCUGUUCCUACUUUGCAAGACUUAGUGACUCCAUGUUCCCUGGCUGGAGUUUCCCAGAUCACUGAGGGCCGCGCACUGCAGGUGUGGGUCUUUCCUUUACAAGUCGGCGCCUGCAGAUCCCAUAUUCCAGACUUCAUUCCUCUAGGUCAGAGCCUACGAGAAAAGCCCGGAGCCAUCCACUCACCUGGGUGAGGCCAUAAAGAGUUAAAAUUACCAACCAUGAGAAGGAAAAGUGAUUUUUGGAAAACAUGAAACAUUGGUGAAUCGGAGUCUGACUACUAAAUUUGGGAGUGGAUCUGGACAAAAUGAAAGUUUACAUCUAGCAGCUGAGCAGCUGAGGAUGAGUUCGGCUCAUGUGAACGUGAAUCCCCAGGACACCUGGCCCAGCCGGUCGUGUGGAACGUCACUCAGCACGCCCGAGGGGCUCCCUCGCCGCCCGCGCUCCGCCAGCACAGCCUGCACACCAGCCUUCCUUCUCUCAACACUUGGCUGCCAGCCAUCUGGCCCCCAUGACCGGAGCCUCCCGAGCAAAAGGUACACAAGAAACGGGCUGAAUGCAUACCACGUCUUUUUCAAAACUGGCAAACUGGUCAUGAGAACAGCCUUCCAAGCCUUAAGGCUUGGGUUCAGCUCUCUCGCAACAAAGAAAAACAAAUCUCUGUGUUUGUCCAGAGUCUAGAACACAUCCAAGCCCUCUGACUGCCGUAGCACACAGGACAUGGCAUGGAUAACAUAAAUGCACCAAAGAAACAGCACUAUAGAGAAAGCUGUUGGUGCUCAAGAACUACGUAACAAGAAGGAAAUGCAAAAAGACACGAUAUCCGUGAGGGAGGUGUUGCUGCUUCUGUUCUGACCUAAGUAAGGCUCAGACAGGGUUUGUGAGGCAGACAUUAGCUGCUUCUCCACAUAAUGUUAUGCCUUAGCAUGUGAUUGGAGUUCGGGGGGUCUUUCUUGCUUUUCUCUGAUCUCCCCCUUUUGUCAUUGUUCGUGAAAGUAGCUGAGCUUCAGGUUGGCCUGAAAUCCCGUGGCACUUAGAGCUACAUGAUCAAAGUCUGUUGUAGGCAUUUGGGCUGGUGCCAACAAAGUUCAGGUUGUGCUUCAAACAGAGCUUCGGGCACCUCUCAGCCACGGGCGAGGGGCUGACUGGGUUUGAUCUCGAACUGUGCGCAUUUGGGGAGUCUCAGGUCCCUUGUUGAUAAGCCCUGCUUGGCAGAGCUCUGCUUUAAUUAACAUGGCCCUCGGGUUGGUUCGAUUUCCCAUGUUUCAGCACCUCACUGGGUGUAACCUUAUCUUUCCAUUUCGUACGCAUGAUGGAUCUGAAACGGCACAGGUGAAGUUUGUCUUUGACUUGACAGCUGGAUUACUUCCAAGUUUCACAACUACAGAAGAAAAGUCCCAAAUCCCAGCUCUUCUUAUCAUUUGGCAUUUUAUGGAGCAGCCGCAGUGGGUGAGAUGUUAAUAUGGUUAGACACGCUUCCAGCAAAAUGAACUUACCGCUUAAAAGUUUAUGCAUCUACUAAGUGUAAGUGUUAGAGGCAAGGGAAAUAAAUGAAUGAUAGAUGUAGUUGGGGGUGACGGCGAGGCAUCUCUGAGAAGCUUGGAAAGAGGGCAAGUGAUUGUCGCCAAGCAUUAAGCUACUUAAAUAAAUGAAUAUAAUUGAAGGAGACAACAUGUUUCAUUACCUUUCGGGAAGAGUGUUCAGAUGAAAAAGGAGGACAGUGUCCUGAGGAGCACAAGUCCUGCAAGACGCUUCUCUAGUCAGUUUGAGGCAAUCUUUGGUAGAUAGUCACACGCCCCUUUUCCUUUGGUUACAUUUCCAUUUCUCUCAACCUUUUUUUUUUUUUUAAACCAUGAAACCUCAUCACCACUCCCAAACUUUGUUUUUUAAAUCAUGCUCAUUAGCAUACUGAGAAACUCAUUUGCAAAACAUACCUGCUCUGGGACUCUAGCAUGGCCCAAAACACAAGGAGAGGAAUCACUCCGGUAGUCAGAGACUCUGUGUGUGUGUGUGUGUGUGUGUGUGUAUGUGUGUGUGUCUUGAAGUGUUAUCUGUCCUUAUCAUGGUCCACAUGGAGCAUCUUCCGAUACUAUUCACUCUCCCUUUGCAGAUUUCUAGAUAAUGACAGCUUCUCAGCUAGUGUGAUACCAGGAAAGGGUUGUUAAGGGUAGGAGAAAAGGUAUUUCUCUACCCUGGAAAGGGAUAUCCUUCACUACAGGUAGUCAACACCUUCACAUAUUCAUCAGUUUCUCGUGAGUUAACACGAGACCAUGACCAGCUUUGAAAGAUGUGGGUCCAGGUAAUACCUUUGCCACUUACUAGAUGUGUAGUUUUCGUCCUGGUUCUGUGGCUCGGUUUCUUCACUUGUAUACUGGGGUUAUGAAAAUAUUUUGGAAUGGCUGUAAGUAUUAAACAAGCCAACAUAUGCUUAGUGCCUGCCACAAAUAUAUUUCAUAUUGUUUUUUUUCUAUUAUGAUUCCUUAUUUCAGAGAUCAGCAGAUGUCAACAUGAUUUUUAUAACACACUAGAACUCUCUAAACAAGUUCCCCAAAAGGCCAUUGUUAACAAAAUGUGCAUUGUUUCUUUUAUUCACCAUUGCAGAGAUAUAGCCAAGCGUUCAAAGCCGCCACUCAUAAGUGGCUCUCAUCUUGCAAAAGCCAAAGAGGUUUAUAAAUAGAGUCCCUACUUUAAGAAUUUUACUUCCUGGGGGCACUUGGGUGGUUCAGUCAGUUAAGCAUCCAAC